CAGGUGAGUUUGAUCAGGGUUGGAGUUGACCUGAUCUCCUUGGGUUUUUAAAACCCCAUUUUACAGCGGUUUAUGUUGCAGUGACACGGCUAUUUGUUUUAGGGAAGCGGUCAAGCUCAUGGAAGCAGUUAUGGACGUGGAAGCGGUCAAGCUCCGGGACGUGAUCCGGGAAGCGGUCAAGCUCAGGGAAGCAGUUAUGGAAGCGGAAGCAGUUAUGGAAGCGGAAGCGGAAGCAGUGGUGGACGCUGGAGCGGAAGCAGUUACGGAAGCGGAAGCGGAAGCAGUUAUGGAAGUGGAGGUGGAAGCGGUCAAGCUCAGGGAAGCAGUUCUGGAAGCGGAGGCGGAAGCGGUCAAGCUCAGGGAAGCAGUUCUGGAAGCGGAGGCGGAAGUGGUCAAGCUCAGGGAAGCGGAAGCAGUUAUGGAAGCGGAAGCAGUUAUGGAAGCGGAGGCGGAAGCGGUCAAGCUCAUGGAAGCAGUUAUGGAAGUGGAAGCGGAAGCAGUUAUGGAAG
rnacentral:lncRNA from 1 species